UCUGGUGAUUAUUACAUAAAGGUAACACUCCUUCCCAUAUCGAACAGGUAGGUUAAGCUUUAUUGUGCUUAUGGUACUUCAGAGGAGACUUUGUGGAAGAGCAAGUCGUUGCCGGAU
rnacentral:rRNA from 1 species